rnacentral:tRNA from 1 species
GGAGUUGUGGUUCAGCAGUAGAGCGCUUGCCUAGCAUGUGCAAGGCCCUGGGUUCAAUCCUCAGCACCACCU